ACGGGUGAGUAACGCGUAAGGAACUUGCCCUGCAGUCAGGGAUAACAGACGGAAACGACUGAUAAGACCUGGUAAAGUCAGGCGGACUCAUGUCCAGCCUGAUGAAAAGGAAUGCUGCAGGAGAGCCUUGCGUCCUAUUAGCUUGUUGGUGGGGUAACGGCCCACCAAGGCGAUGAUCAGUAGCCGGUCUGAGAGGAUGAACGGCCACAUUGGGACUGAGACACGGCCCAGACUCCUACGGGAGGCAGCAGUGGGGAAUCUUCCGCAAUGGACGAAAGUCUGACGGAGCAACGCCGCGUGAGGGAUGACGGCCUUCGGGUUGUAAACCUCUGUUAGCAUCGAAGAAGCGAAAGUGACGGUAGGUGCAGAGAAAGCGCCGGCUAACUACGUGCCAGCAGCCGCGGUAAUACGUAGGGCGCGAGCGUUGUCCGGAAUUAUUGGGCGUAAAGAGCUUGUAGGCGGUUGGUCGCGUCUGCUGUGAAAGGCCGGGGCUUAACUCCGGUUUUGCAGUGGGUACGGGCUAACUAGAGUGCAGUAGGGGAGACUGGAAUUCCUGGUGUAGCGGUGGAAUGCACAGAUAUCAGGAGGAACACCGAUGGCGAAGGCAGGUCUCUGGGCUGUAACUGACGCUGAGAAGCGAAAGCAUGGGGAGCGAACAGGAUUAGAUACCCUGGUAGUCCAUGCCGUAAAC
rnacentral:rRNA from 1 species